rnacentral:lncRNA from 1 species
CUCCCGCGUUGGACACCAGCGCAUCCAGCUCCCGUCCCCUUCCCUGCCCGCGCCCCUCCCGCCAUGAUGAGGCUUCCCUCCUCCACUCGCCCGCGGCCUCCUCCUGAAGGGAGGCGCAGAGGCCGGCCGGAGGGUGCCGUGUCUGGGAUGGCCGCUCGCGUCUGCACGGCGGAUGCUCCGCUCGCUUCCCGUCCCAGCCUCGCCUCCCCGCGCAGCCCAGCCCGGCAGCGGCGACUGGGCUGGCAGCGGGGCCACUUAACGGUCGGCGGCAGGGGGGAAGGGAGAGCAGGUCGAGAGAAAGAAACGCAGCGCCUCACCUACCGCGCGUGCGCCCGACCGGCAGCGCGCGGUGGGGCUUGGGCGCCAGGCUGUGCAUACAUGACAGAAGUUUGGGACCCCCCCUUCUAGCCCCAUUUUCCAACCCCAGUCUACAAAGUACAGCCAAUGCAAAAAGGUUGAUCCCUGAGGUCCUGCCAUCUCUCCUGAUCACUUACUGAUGUUUCAGCUACCUGUUUUUAUCCUCCAGAAUCUCUUGAGUUGCAGACUCCAAACACGUGAGGUCAGACAUCUCGGCAUGCCAGGUGUGGUAUUGGAAUAGGAGGCUGCAGCAUGUUUCCACACUGGAGGGAGGUGAUCAUGCCUGGAGGGCCGUUGUACAUUUGAGACCUCAGUGAUCGGUGCAACAGUCAACUGAGUGUAGCCAUAAAUGGGGUGACCUGCAGGCCUGUGUUGUGCUGUAGGUAUCCCAUGGCCACUGGAUAAACUCAUCCAGCUCACUGUUAAAGGAGUGGUGGGCAGCUCCCAUGUUGUACUGGCAAUUACACCACUCCUUGGAGAUGACCAUGCCUCUGUGUAACAGUGAGAAGUUAUUGUGUGAAUAUUGUUUCUGUUUGAAAGGAUAAAUGAUGAAUAGAGUUGUGUUUCUUUGUAAGAAAAUCCUCUAAUAGUUUUAAUGGGCAUAGUGGGGGAGCCUUUUCACAGACAGGAUCUUCAUGGUGUGCUCUGAUCAGAGGCCUUUUGAUGCUGCACACUUAUGAUUCACAGCA